GAUGAACGCUGGCGGCGUGCUUAACACAUGCAAGUCGAACGAAGCACUUUAUUUGAUUUCCUUCGGGACUGAUUAUUUUGUGACUGAGUGGCGGACGGGUGAGUAACGCGUGGGUAACCUGCCUUGUACAGGGGGAUAACAGUUGGAAACGGCUGCUAAUACCGCAUAAGCGCACAGCAUCGCAUGAUGCAGUGUGAAAAACUCCGGUGGUAUAAGAUGGACCCGCGUUGGAUUAGCUAGUUGGUGAGGUAACGGCCCACCAAGGCGACGAUCCAUAGCCGAGCUGAGAAGGUGACAGGCCACAUUGGGACUGAGACACGGCCCAAACUCCUACGGGAGGCAGCAGUGGGGAAUAUUGCACAAUGGGCGAAAGCCUGAUGAAGCGACGCCGCGUGAGCGAAGAAGUAUUUCGGUAUGUAAAGCUCUAUCAGCAGGGAAGAUAAUGACGGUACCUGACGAAGAAGCACCGGCUAAAUACGUG
rnacentral:rRNA from 1 species